CAGUCGCCGCGGUAACACAGAGGGUACGAGCGUUAAUCGGAUUUACUGGGCGUAAAGCGUGCGUAGGCGGCUUCUUAAGUCGGAUGUGAAAUCCCUGAGCUUAACUUAGGAAUUGCAUUCGAUACUGGGAAGCUAGAGUAUGGGAGAGGAUGGUAGAAUUCCAGGUGUAGCGGUGAAAUGCGUAGAGAUCUGGAGGAAUACCGAUGGCGAAGGCAGCCAUCUGGCCUAAUACUGACGCUGAGGUACGAAAGCAUGGGGAGCAAACAGGAUUAGAUACCCCUGUAGUCCCUGUCUCUUAUAC
rnacentral:rRNA from 1 species